CGAAGCCGGGGUUUUUGUGGGUUACUACACCCGAAGUCGGUGAGGUAACCAGUAAGGCGGCCAGCCGCCUAAGGUGGGAUAGAUGAUUGGGGUGAAGUCGUAACAAGGUAGCCGUAUCGGAAGGUGCGGCUGGAUCACCUCCUUUCUAAGGAUAAGGAACUGCGCAUUGGUCUUGUUUAGUCUUGAGAGGUCUUGUGGGGCCUUAGCUCAGCUGGGAGAGCGCCUGCUUUGCACGCAGGAGGUCAGCGGUUCGAUCCCGCUAGCCUCCAUUGGUGAGAGAUUACCAAGUAAUGCACAUUGAAAAUUGAAUAUCUAUAUCAAAUAGUAACAAGAAAAUAAACCGAAAACGCUGUAGUAUUAAUAAGAGUUUAUGACUGAAAGGUCAGAAAAUAAGGUUAAGUUAAUAAGGGCGCACGGUGGAUGCCUUGGCACUAGGAGCCGACGAAGGACGUGACAACGACGAUAUGCCUUGGGUAGCUGUAAGUAGCGAUGAUCCAGGGAUUUCCGAGCGGGGAAAACCCAAAGCCCGGGACGUUUUCACAGGCCCGGGAACGUUUUCACAGGUCCCGGAAACAGUAUUCAAAGCCCCGGGAAUAAAUUCAUAAGGCCUCGAUGUGUUGUGUCUAGAAAAAAACCUAAAAAAAAACUCCGCGGUGUUGUGUUUUUGUUUUUU
rnacentral:misc_RNA from 1 species